AUACGUAGGGAGCGAGCGUUGUCCGGAAUUACUGGGCGUAAAGGGCGCGUAGGCGGCGCUUCAAGUCGUCUGUCAAAUGGAAGGGCUUAACCCUUUUUCGCAGACGAAACUGGAGAGCUUGAGAAGCAGAGAGGCAAACAGAAUUCCUGGGGUAGCGGUGAAAUGCGUAGAUAUCAGGAAGAAUACCAGUGGCGAAGGCGGUUUGCUGGCUGCAUACUGACGCUGAAGCGCGAAAGCCAGGGGAGCGAACGGGAUUAGAUACCCCGGUAGUCCUGGCAGUAAACGAUGUAUGCUGGGUGUGAGACUAGCGAUAGUUUCGUGCCGAAGUUAACGCGAUAAGCAUACCGCCUGGGGAGUACGGUCGCAAGAUUGAAACUCAAAGGAAUUGGCGGGG
rnacentral:rRNA from 1 species